rnacentral:rRNA from 1 species
GAUGAACGCUGGCGGCGUGCCUAAUACAUGCAAGUCGAGCGAACAGAUGAGGAGCUUGCUCCUCUGACGUUAGCGGCGGACGGGUGAGUAACACGUGGAUAACCUACCUAUAAGACUGGGAUAACUUCGGGAAACCGGAGCUAAUACCGGAUAAUAUAUUGAACCGCAUGGUUCAAUAGUGAAAGACGGUUUUGCUGUCACUUAUAGAUGGAUCCGCGCCGCAUUAGCUAGUUGGUAAGGUAACGGCUUACCAAGGCAACGAUGCGUAGCCGACCUGAGAGGGUGAUCGGCCACACGGGAACUGAGACACGGUCCAGACUCCUACGGGAGGCAGCAGUAGGGAAUCGUACGCAAUGGGCGAAAGCCUGACGGAGCAACGCCGCGUGAGUGAUGAAGGUCUUCGGAUCGUAAAACUCUGUUAUUAGGGAAGAACAAAUGUGUAAGUAACUAUGCACGGCUUGACGGUACCUAAUCAGAAAGCCACGGCUAACUACGUG